UACGUAGGGUGCAAGCGUUAAUCGGAAUUACUGGGCGUAAAGCGUGCGCAGGCGGUUAUAUAAGACAGAUGUGAAAUCCCCGGGCUCAAACUGGGAACUGCAUUUUUGACUGUAUAACUUGAGUACGGCAGAGGGGGAUGGAAUUCCGCGUGUAGCAGUGAAAUGCGUAGAUAUGCGGAGGAACACCGAUGGCGAAGGCAAUCCCCUGGGCCUGUACUGACGCUCAUGCACGAAAGCGUGGGGAGCAAACAGGAUUAGAUACCCUGGUAGUCCACGCCCUAAACGAUAUCAUCUGGUUGUUGGGUCUUAACUGACUCAGUAACGAAGCUAACGCGUGAAGUUGACCGCCUGGGGAGUACGGCCGCAAGGUUG
rnacentral:rRNA from 1 species